GCAAGUCGAACGGUAACAGCGGAGCUUGCUCCGGCUGACGAGUGGCGCACGGGUGAGUAACGCGUACGCAACCUACCCUACAGAGGGGGAUAGCCCUGGGAAACUGGGAGUAAACCGCCAUAGUUUUGUUGUAUCGCAUGAUACUGACAAAUAAAGUUUAGGUGCUGUAGGAUGGGCGUGCGUUUGAUUAGCUAGUUGGUAAGGUAACGGCUUACCAAGGCUGUGAUCAAUAGGGGGCGUGAGAGCGUGAUC
rnacentral:rRNA from 1 species